AAUCAGGCCGCCUGUAUUUCUGCC
rnacentral:siRNA from 1 species